GAUGAACGCUGGCGGCGUGCUUAACACAUGCAAGUCGAACGAUGAAAGCGGGAGCUUGCUCCUGCUGGAUUAGUGGCGAACGGGUGAGUAACACGUGAGCAAUCUGCCCCGAACUCUGGGAUAAGCGUUGGAAACGACGUCUAAUACCGGAUACGACGCGCGAAGGCAUCUUCUGCGCGUGGAAAGAACUUCGGUUCGGGAUGAGCUCGCGGCCUAUCAGCUAGUUGGUGAGGUAACGGCCCACCAAGGCGACGACGGGUAGCCGGCCUGAGAGGGUGACCGGCCACACUGGGACUGAGAGACGGCCCAGACUCCUACGGGGGGCAGCAGUGGGGAAUAUUGCACAAUGGGCGCAAGCCUGAUGCUGCAACGCCGCGUGAGGGACGACGGCCUUCGGGUUGUAAACCUCUUUUAGUAGGGAAGAAGCGAAAGUGACGGUACCUGCAGAACAAGCACCGGCUAACUACGUGCCAGCCGCCGCCGUAAUAC
rnacentral:rRNA from 1 species